rnacentral:rRNA from 1 species
UACAGAGGGUGCAAGCGUUAAUCGGAAUUACUGGGCGUAAAGCGUGCGCAGUCGGUUAUUUAAGUCGGAUGUGAAAUCCCCGGGCUCAACCUGGGAAUUGCAUUCGAUACUGGACGGCUAGAGUUCGGCAGAGGGAAGUGGAAUUUCAGGUGUAGCGGUGAAAUGCGUAGAUAUCUGAAGGAACAUCAGUGGCGAAAGCGACUUCCUGGACCAGAACUGACGAUCAGGCACGAAAGCGCGGGGAGCAAACAGGG